rnacentral:rRNA from 1 species
AGAUCGAAUUGUAAACUUUAGAGUCGUUGUCCAGACCAGCCGAGUAAAUAAGUUCCUUGGAAUAGGACAUCAUGGAGGGUGAGAAUCCCGUCUUUGGCUUGAGCAUUGGUCUUUUGUGAUGCGACUUCAACGAGUCAGGUUGUUUGGGAAUGCAGCCUUAAUUGGGUGGUAAAUCUCACCUAAAGCUAAAUAUUGGCGAGAGACCGAUAGCGAACAAGUACCGUGAGGGAAAGAUGAAAAGAACUUUGAAAAGAGAGUUAAACAGUAUGUGAAAUUGCUAAAAGGGAACCGUUUGAAGUCAGUCUGGCUGGUCUGCAAUCAGCUUCAACUUUGGUUGGAGUGCACUUGUAGGCCAUUUUUGCCUGCCAACAACAGUUUGUUCUGCAGCAAAAAGGUGUUGAGAAUGUAGCUUUCUCUUUGGAGGAAGUGUUAUAGCUCUUCGCGAAAUACUGUGGUUCAGACUGAGGCUUGCAGUGAAUGCUAUUUUGGCUUUGGGGAUGGAUUGCUCAGUGCUUUGCUUGG